rnacentral:rRNA from 1 species
GAGUUUGAUCCUGGCUCAGGAGGAACGCUGGCGGCGUGCCUAACACAUGCAAGUCGAGCGAGAAAUAGUCAGACGGAGAUUUCGGUUGAAGGAUGGUUAUGGAAAGCGGCGGACGGGUGAGUAACGCGUAGGCAACCUGCCUCAUGCAGAGGGAUAGCCUCGGGAAACCGGGAUUAAAACCUCAUAAGGCCAAGGGGACACAUGUUUUCGUGGUCAAAGAUUUAUCGGCAUGAGAUGGGCCUGCGUCUGAUUAGCUGGUUGGUGAGGUAACGGCUCACCAAGGCGACGAUCAGUAGCCGACCUGAGAGGGUAAACGGCCACAUUGGAACUGAGACACGGUCCAAACUCCUACGGGAGGCAGCAGUGGGGAAUAUUGCACAAUGGGCGAAAGCCUGAUGCAGCAACGCCGCGUGAGCGAAGAAGGCCUUUGGGUCGUAAAGCUCUGUCGAUAGGGAAGAAAAAGGUGACGGU